rnacentral:tRNA from 4 species
GCCUCAAUAGCUCAGACGGUUAGAGCGACGGACUGUUAAUCCGCAGGUCGUAGGUUCGAUUCCUACUUGAGGCGCCA